AAGGUCCUCCUCAAAUUUUGCACCAGUCUGCUUCUCCAGUUCUGGAUCCAUUUUCAGGCGGUCAUGAUAGAGGAGAUUGCAAUUGAAAGGCUUCAAUCUCUGUAGCAAAAGCUUGCCAAUUCGUCCAGCACCAACAGUCCCAACAGUUUUUCCUUCAAGAUCAUAAGCUCUGUAUGCUAUACCAGCCACAUUCCAGUCCCCACUAAUGACCUGGUGAUAUCCAGGCAAAAAGUUCCUUACAAGAAUGAGGAUUCUCAUGAGCUCAUCCUCUGCAACCAAAACAACAUUGCUACCAGUGACUUCUGCAACUGUCAACCCUGCGUCAGCUGCAGCCUUUAAAUCAAUGUGAUCAGAACCAAUGCCAGCAGUGAGAAGAAGCUGCAGAUUCUUCGCCUUUUUGAUUCUUUCCGCAGUAACAUAGGCAGGGUGAAAGGGGGUUGUUAUGAGGACAUGAAGAUCGGGAAUAUGCUUUUCAAGUUCUGUGAUGAUAGAAUUGAGAAGUGAGAAGCAAAGCAAUCAUAAUCAUGAAAUGAUAACAAGUUAUAGAAAGCAAUACAAUAACAGUCAGGCGACAACCAAAUCAAUAAUCAUCGAGAUUACUGAUAUGGCAGAUAUCAGCUAAAGCCAAAGGUUCCUGCGGAGCAAAUCUAUAUAGAAAGCCAUUGUCAAUUCUAAAACAUACUCACCACAGUCUGGUCCCUCCUUGUCAUCCGUGACUAUGUACUGAUGCCCUUGCGAUUCCAGCCAGUCGUGUAUGCCCAAACCUCUCUCAACACAGCCCAAGAAAUUCGGAUUCAACUCAGCAUAUUCAUUGGCCUUGUAGAACACACCCACAAUCUUUUUGCUUCCAGCAGUAGACUGAUAAAAGUAACCGCAGAAAACACAUGCAGUCAGAAAAGAAGAAAAUUUUGAAGCAGAAAAGGAAGAUUUUAGCAAGAAGGCAUCAGUUCAAAAUUCCAGAGACAUGUAUCUCCAUUACCAACUCAUAACAUUAUCACUUGAAAUGAGAAACUACCCUAAGAAACCAAAUCUGAUAAGUGAACAGCAACCCCCUAUCAAGAUAAAAGGGCCAAACAUUUCACAUGAGCUUUCUGUGUAAUCCACAUAGUCAAGCAAAGUAAUAAAUCUUGUGAUAAAAAAAGCAAAGGAAGAGACAUCCGUUAGUGUCUGAUGCUAUCAACCUUGGCAGACUAAAUUUCAGUAUGAAGGCAGCUACAUUGUGCACAAGUUUCUUGAUCAUAAACCUCGUUGCUUUGGAACAAAUAUUUGAUUGAAAACAUGUUGUGUUUUUCAAAUGGCAAAAAACAGAAGUACCAAGCGCAAGUUAAUACAAACCAUUCGUCCGCAUCACUUGCAAACCAGGCAAACCCAGCUGCUACAGACGGUCUCUUAUCAGUGCUAAAAAAGCCUAAUUGUCUGUGCAGCUUUCGUUCUCUCUAUACCUUCUGUAGCAUUGUGGCAUAAUAAGCAUACACUUCUUCCUAACGUGACAGACUACAGUUCAUCAAGAGGUUUGACUUUGACUGCGUCUCUGUUGGAACCCACUAAGAUGAUGAUAAUUGUGCGCACCGAUCGACAACCUAGACAUAUCACAAAGCUUCCAUUUUUCCAACUCUCCAACAGAAAGAAAAAGAAAAAAAAAGGUUCCGUUUUCCCCUUCCUAAUUGCCAAGCCGACAAAGACCCAAAACAGCCCACAAGGCCUACUGUCAGUCUGUCGGACACUCGUCAUCGUCGCCAUGCACGACUCUCAACCCCUAAUUAGCGUCGGCACUAAUGAAGCCUGGCUAAUCGAGCAUCAGACGCCGAUCCACAAACCGAAUGCCCACGACCCAAUUUCAAGACGACCCUCUAAAUUCCGAUCAAGCGAACCACCGUCCCGCUACUCAAUUCAGUCACACGCCGCUGCAUCAAUCAAUUAUAGACCCAAAAAACACAGAUAAGCCCAAAAGCAUCCGGAGAACGCACAAUCCAGCAAAACAUAAGCUGGAGAACCAGACUACCCACACAGAACCGAAGAUAAUCAUGCGAAAGCUCGCGAUCAUGCGGACCACAACAGCAGCAGCAGCAGCAGGUCAUCGAAACAGGGGGCGAUGACUAACGGGUCCACUCACAUGGGCAUGUCUAGCGAAAUUCGCAGACGAGCACAGAGCUCUGAUGGCGGAGACACCAGCUCGCUUCAUCGCCAUCUCCGAGCCGAGCGACACUCGCGGUCCAAAGAGAGAUCGGCACCGGAAGACGAAAGAGAAGGCGCGAGAAAACACUCGUGAAGUACUCUGACAGAAAGAGAGGGACGUUUCGUGUUAUAUAAUAAAUAUAGGCGAGGAGGAGUCGCGAGGGGAGGAGGGAGAUCGACUUUUCCUUCGCUUUUGCUUGCGAAGAGAAGGUGCGGAACGCUGGCUCUGGCAAGUGGCAGGUGGCGUGGUCGCUCUGUCUUCUUCGCUUUUGCUUGUCCGAUUCGCGCCCGUCGCUCACCGUUUGGCUUCCGCGAGUGCGCGAUUUCCUCUGGAGACGUAGAUGGUAGGCCGAGAGUUCUGACACGUGGCGGUGACGUUAUUAUCGAAAUUGGAAAUCCCUUUCUUUACAUUUCUCCUUUUUUUUUUUUUCCCUUUAGCAUAUUAUCACGAAAAAAAACCCGCUAAAAACCCAAAAACAUAUAUAUUUAUGACAAAUUUACUCUCGAUUUAUUUUUGUUAAAUUGUAUUAUCAAAUUGCUAAAUUGAAUGAUAUAUAGUUUGAGAUAGAUGUCAAUUUGAGAUUUUUCGUAAUAAAAGGUAAAUUUAUCGUAAAUAUAUCAUUCUAAAGUUUUUUAUAGUAAAAAAUUUAUUCUUUGAUAAAUUUAUCACAAACAUAUCAGUUUGAAAUUUUUUCUAAUUAAGAAAUUAAUUUGAAGUAAAUUUCUCAUAAAUAUAUCAAUUUAAAAUUUUUCAUAAUUUUAACCAUUUUUCUUUUAAGGGACUAUUAUAAAAAGGAAAUGCAGCAUGGGCACUCGUUACUAAAUAUCACUCUCACAUGUACAACAUACAACUUAAAGAUUUUAAGCUUGCAUGUCAACAUAAUUAUGACCUCGCUUAUCUAGAUAAAUUAUCAUUUCCCUUCCAAAACCAUCUUUUUGAAGAAAAAAUCUGUAAAUUGUGACAUGCUUUUCUCUCCACUUCAUCAUUUCUUACCUAUCCAUCGGUGACUAGCUGCCGCCUCCUACCUAGCCCCUCGUCGUCGUCGCCACCUCAAAUCUGGUCCAAAUCAACAUAGGGCGACCCCAUCUAGACCAUAUUAGGCCCGAUCGAUAGGAUACGUGCGAGCUCUAUCAGAGAGCUUAGAAUAGUCGCUCAAAUAAAAACCCGACAUUCACAGACCGGCAAAUCGUGUUUAAUGUAUUUCAGUAAUCAUAUUAAGUCGUACCAUUUGAAAAAAUACUAUAUUUUUGUUCACUUAAUCGUAAUAAAUUCGCGUGAAUUGGUAAUCUUCUCUUCGUACGAAAAUGGAAUCAAUUGAGGAUCGUGACAACUGCCGUAGCAAAUGCUGAUUCGUCCUCCCUUACUGCCUCUCCAGUGUCCAAAGCGGCCAUACGAAUCCUGAUUCGUCCGUCCUUUUUAACUCACGGCUUUUCGGUGUCCAAAGCGGCCGUGCUUUUCCGAACAUUUUGGAAAAUGGAAAUCCUCAGCCGUCCUUGCGGCUUCUCAUGGACCAAAUAGAGCUUGAAUCUUCGUUUAGGCACUGUUUCACUUGUUGAAGAAAAGUUCCCAAAAACUCCAUCAAAUAAAUAAAUGAAAAAGAGGAUUGAAUUAUUUUCAUGCUUUCUCAAUUAAGCCUAUAUACCUAAUUUUGUUUAAUUAAGUCCAUCUGACAACGAAUUCGAUUGAUCAACUGAUGUAAUAGUAUAAUGCGGACAAAAUACGCACAACAUGUGUGUACGUGUUUAAUUGAUGUAGAUUACGUUAGAGUAUAAUGCAGAUGGAUGUGGACAAUUCAGAUGUCAAUGUCGAGUUUUCCCAUGAAACGUUGCAACGUCACAUAAGCCCUACGUUGACUAGAUUUGGCCGGCUUUGAUGUGGUAAAGUGAAAGGACUCUGUAAGAAAAUUCAAAAAUUAGGAAGUACCGACACUAUUCAAUAACAUUCAUGUUAGGUCAGACACUCCGAAACGUAUUUAAUACUCUCCAACAUAAUCAACACUUAAUCAACAAAUUUUAACAAAUGAGAAAAGAAGAAAACAUAAUAUUCUCUUCUUUUCCGACUCUCAUUUUUUGUGACACAUAAUUUAUCCAUCAAGUUUGUUUUUUCUCUCUCUUCUCCUUCAACAUAUUCUAACACACGAGUCUAGAAUAUGAAUUGCUUGUUUUUUCUUCAAAUUUUAUAAAUUAUUGGAAUGGAGUUAAAUUUAUCAAAUUGAAACAAUAAAUAAUAUCAAUAAAUGGUGAAUUAAUGUUUUUAGUGUAAAAUAAUUCUAGACUUUUAUUUAUUUAUUAAUUUACGAAUUUGAAUUAAAUUAAUUUGAUUAAAAUGAUACACUUAAUAUACAACAUGUCUCAAAUUCUCUUUUUCUUCUUCUUUUUUUUUAUAAAUAAUGUGUUGGCGUGUUACGUUGCAUUGUGUCGUUUAUCGGUAUUAGUACUACUUAGAUCAAAAGUAUAGAGAUUCGAUUAGGAAUUUCGUAAAUUUAUUGAGCCGGGCGCAUUCCUUUGGUGCAUCCCUUGCCAGUUGGCCGACGCUUCAAAUCUUUGACCCGAGUCCAAUAAUUAGGACACUACGCAAAGAUAUGACCUGUCCCGGAUAAUGGCUGGAAUCAUCAAAAUCAGAUGAGCUGUUCCUUUCGUUGGUAGGUUGACUCGCGCGCGCUAACGCGAUAAGGCACGAUUACGUGGACAAUUUAUCCUCUUCCUGCUCCUGCGGAUAAAAUGCGUACAUUUUUUAUUUAUUUAUUAAUCUGACAGGUCAUGCACUGUCUGCAAGCACUAAUCUCCGAGAACUUCGGUCCCAGAUUUUAUUUUUAAAACUUUGCGUGAAGCAUUUACUAAGUAAUCUAAUAAUAUAUAUUCGAUACCUUAACUUUCCCAUCGCAUCUGAAAUACGUGCUUUAAAAAUUGGUAUAUCUAAUGUAUAGAAUGACACGACUUUUACUGUCCGUGUGUUUAGCAAAAACCGUCGCUUUUAUUGGUUAAAAUAAUAAGUUAUUGUACCAAUGGUGUUUUCGCAUUUUGAAAUGGAGCUUCGUAUUCUUCCAAUUUUUAAAUAUUGAUGAGUGAUUUGGAUGUACACGCUUCCCCGAAUUGAGGAGGCAUUACAGCCGCUAUUCAGGCGGUCCGUCUAUUGUGAUUGAUUGUCCUUUACGUGAUAUGUCCACCAUCCUUUGACAAUUCUCCUUUUACUUGCAAAAAAAAAUUAGAAUUAUGAGUACCUAUUUGAGUACCUAUUUUGCACCGCAUGUCAAAAAUCGCAAAUUUCACCAUGGAGUCGGAAGAAUGGGCUCGAUGACAUGGUUUGAAUAAAUAAAAGUAAAUCUAUAUCAACAAAAAAAAAAUAUUAAAAAGACUGAAUUGCAAAAUGCGAAUAAGUUGGAGAUCCAAUUCUAUGAUUAACUUAAAGUUGAGAUGUUCUUGGGGAUGUCAGGCAUUACUAGAAGCAUUUUGCAUAAAAUUUUAGAUUCUCAUCACACAAACAACAUACUUCGACUUUGAGAUCAAGCAAGACCUCAAAUUGCGAAAAACAAAGUGCCCGGAGAUUUGGUCUAAUUUCUUUUUUUCUUUUUUUGGCAUUCAUUGUUCUAAUUUUUUUUAAUGGAUUAGAUGGGGCAAUUGGUUCCUUGCGAGGACACUCGGUUAUCAAAUUCCUGAUAUAUAUCAAUAAUUAAGAGUCAUUUUCUAACACGCUAUGCUGAGGUUUAAGUCAUGUCCCGCACGUGUAGCAUAGUCGCGUCACGCUAGGAAUGAACAUCAAUAAUUGUAUCCGGCAAUAACGAUAAUCGUCGACUAUGCUCAGUAAAUUGGGAUAUGAGUUUCUGUUUAAUGGACCGUGAUCUAUCGCGCCACCUUUUGGACUAAGCAAAAGUAACGUUGGUGUAAGAAAAUUUGCACAAUGAGUGCUGUUUCAUUCUCAAACAAGACCACCUCAAUCUUCAAUACAGCACAAACUAAAGACACGCUUUAAGAACAAACGUUGAAACGGCAGCAUUACUACACUUAUUCAAGAUCCUGCAACUUCUAAUGAGCUCAACGAUCGCGAAUUCUCGAACAUGGAAACUGCACAAGCUGAGGAGACGGAGAGAUCACUGGUACUGAGGGGCCAGCACGCCCUCCUUGACGAUGUAAUUCUGGAGAGGGAAUUCCUCUCCCUUGAAGUACCUAUCCAGCAUGUCUUUGGUUCCGGCCGCAUAUCGCAGCUGCACCAAAACCAAAUUCAAAAGCCAGAGCAUGAUUAAAAGGCGAAACGGUGCCUUGCUUAUUGAAAACGAGAGACGAGAAGUAUGGAGAUGUAUAGUACCUGGGCGUCUAUAGUUGUGCCGGAAAUAUGAGGCGUCAUGGCCUGGUUCGGCAUGUACCGCCAGGGGUGGUCCUUCGGUGCAGGCUGUGGGAACCAGACAUCUCCACUAUAACCUGAAAGACCAGACAGAUGAAAACUGAACAUGAUCGGGAAAUGACAACUUAUAUAACUGAUCUGCCGGCAAUAGUUUACCUCCGAUGUGUCCACUGGCACAGGCGUCAGCAACAGCUUGUGUAUCCACGAGCGCUCCUCUAGCAUUGUUGACGAUAAGCACACCUUUCUUCAUCUUGGAAAUCCUCUCUUUAUCAAGCAUUCCUCUGAAACAUAUACCAUAGCCUUCAUCACAUAGUGCUCGCAACAUUUUACAAGAACUUCAAACCUUACACAUUGCAAGAAAACUGAGAACCUGAAGCAGACCAAAUGAUUUUUACCUUGUUUUCUCAGUCAGAGGGGUGUUGAGCACAAUUAUGUCACAUUUCGGAAGCAUUGCAUCGAGGUCCUCCUCAAAUUUUGCACCAGUCUGAACCUCCAGUUCCGGAUCAAUUUUGACACGGUCGUGAUAAAGGAGAUUGCAGUUGAAAGGCUUCAAUCUCUGUAGCAAAAGCCUGCCAAUUCGUCCAGCACCAACAGUCCCGACAGUUUUUCCUUCGAGAUCAUAAGCUCUGUGUGCUAUGCCAGCCACAUUCCAGUCCCCAUUGAUGACCUGAUGAUAUCCAGGCAAAAAGUUCCUUACAAGAAUGAGAAUUCUCAUGAGCUCAUCCUCUGCAACCGAAACUACAUUGCUUCCAGUCACUUCUGCAACUGUCAACCCUGCCUCAGCCGCAGCCUUCAAAUCGAUGUGAUCGGAACCAAUCCCAGCAGUGAGAAGAAGCUGCAGAUUCUUCGCCUUCUUGAUCCUUUCCGCAGUAACAUAGGCAGGGUGAAAAGGGGUCGUUAUGAGGACAUGAAGAUCGGAAAGAUGCUUUUCAAGUUCUGUGAUGAGCGAAUUGAGAAGUGAGAAGCGAAUCAAACAUAAACAUGACAAGUUAUAAAACCCAAUACAGUAAUUGUCACAAGCAACAACCACGUGAAUAAUCACCAAGAAUAAUGAAAUGGCAGGGAUCAGCUAAAACCAAAGGUUCCUGCAGGGCAAAUCUACAGAGAAACACAUUGUCAUUUCUAAAGCGUACUCACCGCAGUCUGGUCCCUCUUUGUCAUCUGUGACUACGUACUGAUGGCCCUGCGAUUCCAGCCAGUCGCGUAUGCCCAGACCUCUCUCGACAGUGCCCACGAAAUUGGGAUUCAACUCGGCAUACUCAUUGGCCUUGUAGAACACACCCACGAUCUUCUUGCUUCCAGCAGUAGACUGAUAAAAGUGACCCCAGAAAACCAUAUAUGCAGUCAGUAAAGAAGAAAAUGUCGAAGCAGAGAAGGCAUACGGUUCAAGUUUCCAGAAGCACGAGAACCAGAGCACGAACAAAAACACAAAAUAAUCACGGAUCAUGCCGACUAACGUGUCACUCACAUGGACUCGUCGAGUCAAGCUCGGAGACGAACACAGAGCUCUGAUGGCAGACACACCGGCAUGCUUCAUCGCCAUUUCCGAGCCGGGCGGUUCUCGCAGUUGACGGGUUCGAAGUGAUUCGAAGAGAGAUUCAGUAUCGGAAGAAGAGAGAAAAGUGGAUAAAACAAUGGUGAAGUACUGGGAGGGAGAUGUUCGAUAUAUAUAGGCGAAGAGUCGCGAGGGAAGAGAGAACAACUUCUCCUUCGCUUUCUUGUGAUGAGGAAGCGAGACACGCUGGCUUUAGCAAGCGGCAUGAUCACUGUCUGUUCAUAUGGAAAAAAAAGCGUGUCUCGUUCUGGCUCUGGCGAGCUGCAUCCUCACUUCCUCUUCUUGGAAAAGAAUUUCUCUUUUUUGAGCAGUUUCCAAAUUCGAUAGGUUUCUAUUUUGGAUGAAGGAGACGGAAUUAUACCUUGUAAGUCCAAUCACGUAGGUAAGGUCGAUCACGGGGUCUAAAGUUAUGGAGACGUGAUUAUAACUGUCAUUAGUAUUUAUUACUUAAGAGCAAUUAUGCUUUUUAUACCAUAUAAAGCCGUAUGUGAUUGUUGUAGAGACCUGAUUAUCAUUAUGAAAUCUUAUAUAUUUUCUCGAUUUAUCAAUCUUUCAGUCUUCAAUAUUCGCAUUUCUUACCGUUGAUUUUAUUGUUCUCCAUCAUCGUAACACAAUUUCGAUUCUAUUUGAAUUGACUCUAAACUCAUUUAAUAAAGAACCAAAGAUCAAUCUUUAGUGAAAGCUAUUUCACUAACUGGAAUUGAUCCCGAUUUCUAGUGAAACAACUAUUAAAUUUAUGUAUAUGAAAAUCAUGUCAAAUCGGAUCAUCUGUGGAUAAUCUCCAUAAUUGUUAAAAAAAUAAAAUAAUAAUAACGUGUUUAUUCUCACGGUCAUCGCGUGGAAAUAAAAUCCAUGUGCGAUUAUUUUACUCUGCAAGGAUUGACGUUGCAAAUUCUGAUUCGUCCUUCCGCAUUCCCCUUUAGACUGUCCGAAGCGGUCAUGCAAAAUCCAAGCAGUCCCGCCUUACUGGCUUUUCGGAGUCCAAAGCGGCCAUGUUUUUUCGAGCAUCGUGUCUUUUGGGAAUAUUGAAAAUGACGUCUUUAAGAAUUUCCAUCAACCAAAACAGAGCCUUUCAAGUUUCUUCGCUUAAGCACCAUUUUCUUUGUUACAAGUUUUCACAACCCCUACAUCAAACAAAUAAAUGAACUAGAAAAUGAAAAACUUCUACUCUGCUUAUCCGUACUUUCACGUUUUUCUGAAUAAAAAUUUUAUGUACUUAAUUCGUUGAGUCAAGGUCCAUUUCUAGGCUCCUUGGAUUAUGUAAGGACAUGACUUUUUCUUAAAAUAUUUUCUCACUUGGCAAUUACGUGACUAAAAUAAUGUUGUUUUGGUCUAAAUUUAACUUUUAAUAAAAUUUUAAUAAGUAAGCUAAUUUUUUUUUCUUUUAAAAAAGGACAAACUAGCAAUGAGGAUCGCGAGGUCUUGCCAAUGGUUGGCCACCCCCAGAUCUAGCUCACCCAAACUUGAUCGAGGACCGCUACUAGCAACCAACCCAUCACCCAUUGAUGGUGGUCCUCGAUUAGGUCUACCCGAUUUGGGGGAGGGCUGUGGCCCACCCAGUGGCCCUCACCUAUGGUCACUGGCUAGGGCCCAAUCGCCAACCAUCCCUUACCCUCAUCAGCCCUUCUCAGCAAUGGUGGGAUAGCCCGCCCUCGUUGCUGGUUCGUCCUUUACUUUCCUUUUUUUUUAUUUUCUUUUUAAAAUUGUAAUAAAAAUCAUAUUUGAGCCAAAACGAUGUUGUUUUAGCCACAUUAUCGGCACAUUAGUAUUUUCUAUUAAUUAAAUUAGAUUAAGUUAACAAAAUAAUUUUAUUGUACCAACUUGAUAAGUUUUAUAACUUAAUUAUAUUUUUUGUAAGUUUUAUGAUUCAAUUACACUUUCAUAAUAAGUUUUAAAACUUUUAGUAUACUUAUCCUCCCCAAAAAAGGGGAAGGAGUUGUUGAAUUUCUCCUUGUGUCCCAUAUUUUUUGGUGCACGCAUUGGCUGACUUGCUAAUCUUGACGCGAGUCAAAUAAUUUUGACCGGAUACGUAGCUUCUUUGUCAGUGGUUCACUUGCACGUUUUCACUAUGCAGUAAUAUAUUUUUAGCAGCAAGAGGAGCAUGGGUGGCUUGGCACCUUCUCAAGCGCUAAACUCGUUGGAAGGACCCAAGGAGCAGUAAGAAGACUUAAGACGCGUUUGGUAACAAUUUUGUUUUCAGAAACACUUUUUUUUUUAUUUCUAUUUCCCGAACAAAAAUAUGUUUAGUACGACUCCAAAUAUUUUUGUAACUUAGAAUUUCUUUUAAUUUAUUACUGAUUUUAUUACCUUUUUUCUUUUUUCUUUUCAUUUUUCUUUUUCUUCUCCUUCUUCUAACCGAUCACUGACCUUGGCCAUGGCUAGCCGAUGACUAGCCAAAAGAGGGCUGGUAAGGUCGUUGGCCUCAGGGAAGCCUUGUCGGCCAUUGUUGAGGCCGGCGACUGGUUGGGGAAGAUGAAAGGAAGAGAAAAAAAAAAGUAUUUCUUGAGUUGUUCCCAAAAACAAAAAAAUUUACCAAAUACGUUUUUGUUCUAUUUUUGUUUAGAGGAACAAAAGAGCAUAAAUAAGUUUUCCCUGGAGCUUUACCAAAUCGCACUUUAAUUUCUGUCUUACAUGGAUAAAAGUUAGCUGCAUGCCUAACUUGCUUGGAGAGUGAAAAUUUUUACGCGAUGGACCAAUAGUAGUGGAUUCAGUGCUUUCCCUUCUUUCUAACUAUCACAUUCCAACUUAUGAGCCAACCACUCUACCACUAAGCCACUGAGGAACAGGGGGAGAUUAGGUUUCUUAGGACGUGUUUGGUAACGAUUCUAUUUCAGGAAAUAAUUUCUUAUCGGAAAUGAUUCUUUUUUAUUCUGUUCCCGGGAACAUUUCUAAGCAUUUUAAGCCGUUUGGUAACUGUCCAAAAUUUCUGAUUCUGGAAUAGAAUUGCAUUUGGUACCGUGCUCAAAAUUUAUACUCCAAAUAAUUUUUUUUUAAUUUUUAAAUAAUUUUAUUACUUUUUUCUUUUUUCUCCUAUUCUUUUUUUCCUUUCUCUCUCCUAUUCUUUUUCUUCAAGUGGUCGGUCGCUAGCGAGGGCUAGCGAUAUCACCGGAGCGUCGCCAGCCCUCAUCAGCCGAGGCUCGCCGGUAGCUGGGUGAGGCCCGCUUGACCAUCGACGAGGAUGGGCGAGCCUCGCCAGUGGCUAGGCUUACCUUUGGCAAGCUCGCCAAACCUCGCCUUAGCCUGGCGAGCCUCUGGCGAUCGGCGACAGUAGGCAACGGACAGCAACUGUGACGAUGGAUGAAGAAAAAGAAAAGGAAAGAAGAAGAAGAAGAAGAAGAGAAAAUAUGGGCUUGAUUCUAGAAUUGUUCCCGAGAAGAAGCUGCAAAUUCUUCGCCUUCUUGAUCCUUUCCGCAGUAACAUAGGCAGGGUGAAAGGGGGUUGUUAUGAGGACAUGAAGAUCGGAAAGAUGCUUUUCAAGUUCUGCGAUGAUCAAAUUGAGAAGUGAGAAGCAAAUCAAACAUAAACACGACAAGUUAUGGGAACCAAUACGGUAAUUGUCACAAGCAACAACCACAUUAAUAAUCACCAAGAACGAUGAAAGGGGCAGAGAUCAGCUAAAACCAAAGGUUCCUGCAGAGCAAAUCCACAGAAAAAGACCGUCAUUUCUAAAGCGUACUCACCGCAGUCCGGUCCCUCUUUGUCAUCUGUGACUAUGUACUGAUGGCCUUGCGAUUCCAGCCAGUCGCGUAUGCCCAGACCUCUCUCGACAGUGCCCACGAAAUUGGGAUUCAACUCGGCAUACUCAUUGGCCUUGUAGAACACACCCACGAUCUUCUUGCUUCCAGCAGUAGACUGAUAAAAGUGACCCCAGAAACCAGAAACCACAUAUGCAUUCAGUAAAGAAGAAAAUGUCGAAGCAGAGAAGGAGCAUACAGUUCAAAUUUCCAGGAGCACGAACAAAAACGCCAAAAAAAUCAUGUGAAAUCUUGCGAUCGCCCCGACUAACGCGUCACUCACAUGGACGCGUCGAGUCAAGUUCGGAGACGAACACAGAGCUCUGAUGGCAGACACACCGGCACGCUUCAUCGCCAUUUCUGAGCCGAGUCGGUUCUCGCGGUCGACGGGUUCGAAGCGAUUCGAAGAGAAAUUCAGUAUCGGAAGAAGAGAGAAAAGUGAAUAAAAAAAAACUGGGGAAGUGCUGGGAGGGAGACGUUCGAUAUAUAUAGGGGGAAGAGUCGCGAGGGAAAAAGAGAACAACUUCUCCUUCGCUUUCCUGUGAUGAGGAAGCGAGACACGCUGGCUUUGGCAAGUAGCAUCAUCACGUUUUGUUUUUGUUCAAGCGAAAAGGCGUGUCUCGUCCUGGCUUCGGCGAGUUGCAUCCUCACUUUCUCUUCGUGGAAAACAAUCUCUUUUUUUAGCAGUUUGCGAAUUCGAUAGGUUCUCAAUCUUGAAUUAAGGAGACGGAAUUAUACCUGAUAAUUAUACACUAGAAUAUGCAAAAUGAGUGUUAGGAUUUAUUAUUAUUUUUUAUUUUUGUGAAUUUUCAAGGUGAGUUAUCUAUAAGAAAAUAUGAGUAACACCUGUAAAUUUGCUUUAGAUGUAAAUGGAUGAUGGGAAUCAUUUGAGCGAUUGAGUAUGAUAACACAAUUCUAACCUUUAAUUUUAUUGUUCUCGAUCAUUGUAACACAAUUCCGAUUCUGUUUGAAUUGCCACCGAAUCCAUUUAAAAGAGAACAAAAGAUCAAUCUUUGGUGAAAGUUAUUUCACUAAUUGGGAUCGAUCUAGUGAAACAGCCUAUAUAUAUGAAAUAGAAAUCAAUUUGGGUCACAUGUGGAUAUUCUCUACAAUCAUAAAAAAGAAAAAAAAUAUAUGUUAAUUCUCGUUGGAAAUUAACAGCCUUCGUUCCGGUCACCACGUGGAAAUAAAACCCAUGUACGAUUAUUUUACAACUCUGUAAGGAUAGUUGUUGCAAAUUCUGAUUCGUUCUUCCGCACUUCCUUUUAGACUGUCCGAAGCGGUCAUGCAAAAUCUGAGAAGUCCUGCCUCAGUGGCUUUUCGGAGUCCAAAGUGGCCACGCUUUUCCGAGCAUCGUCUUUUGGGAAAAUUGAAAAUAACGUCUUUGAAAAUUCUCAUCAACCAAAACAAAGCUUUACAAGUUUCUUUUGCUUAAUCGUCAUAUUUCAUUUGUUAGAAGUUUUCAUAAAUACUGCAUCGAACAGAUAAAUGAAAUAGAAAAUGAAAAACUUCUAUUCUUCUUAUCCGUACUUUCACGUUUUCUUAUUUAAAAGCCUAUGUAUUAAUUGGUUGAGUCCAAGUCCAUUUUUAAGCUCCUUUGACUAUGUACCGACCUGACUUUUUUUUUAAUAUUUUCUCUCUUUUGCAUGGCGAUAAAUUUUCUAAAACAACAUCGUUUUAGUCAAAAUUUGAUUUUUAAUAAAAUUUUAUAAAAUAAGCUAAAUUUUAAAAAAGAAAAGGGACAAAUCAAUGAUGAGGAUCGUGAGACCCUAAUAGUGACUAGCGACCCUCCCUUAGAUCUAACGAGGAUUGCCAGCUCUCGUCCAGACCUGAUUCAGCACUGCCACUAGCGAAUGACCCCUAUCCCACCAUUGGCUAUCCUCAGUCAGUUUUGGGUGAGGACCGGUGGUUUAUGGGAGGGCCACGACCCUCACUUGUUGUUGGCGAGGGUUGUCAACCACUAGCCAAGGCCCAACGACCUCAGCCAGCUAUCCCCUACCCUCGCCAACCCUUCUCGGUGAUAGUGAGGUAGACAGCCCUCAUCACUUAUUUAUUUUUUCUUUUUCUUUUUCUCUUUCCUUUUCUUAGCUUUUUUUGAGAUAUUUAUUAAAAAUCAUAUUUGGACCAAAAUGACGUCAUUUUAGCCACAUUAUUACCACGUCAGUAUUUUUUGUUAAGGAAAUUGGAUGGGGCUAAUGAAAGGACUCCAUUGUACCAAUUUGAUAAGUUUCAGUAUUUGAUUUUUUUUUGUAUGUUUUAUGACUUAAUUAAGCCUUCAUUAUAAGUUUUGAAAUUUCUAACGUACUUAUCCUCCAAAAGAAAAGAAAGUAAUUGUUGAAUUUCUCCUUUCGUUCCAUAUUCUUUGGGGGCAUGCAUUGGCUGACCUUCUAAUCUUGACUCGAGUCAGAUAAUUUUGACCGGAUAAGCAACUUCUUUCGUCGGUGGUCCACUUGCACGUUACACAUUCCCACUGUGCAGUAAUAUAAGAACUGCCUCUCUUUCCAGAAGCAAGAGGAGCAUGGGCGGCUUCACACACCUUCUCAAGUGCUAUGCUCGUGGGAAGGGACCCAAGGAACGGUAAGAAGACUUGCUUUCUGUCUCGCAUGGAUAAGAGUCAAUUGCAUACCUAACUUGCUCGGAAAGUGAAAAUUCUUAGACUGGAGACCAAUAGCAGUGGAUUCAGUUCUUUCCCUUCUUUUGGACUUUCAUGCCUUGAUUCGAAGCUACGACUAGUCAAUUAACAGUCAAUUGCUCUACCACUGAGCUAUUGAGAAACAAGGGGAGAUUAUAUCUCUUAAAGUUUAAUUUCCGUUCUCAACUCAUAACCAAUAAAUUAACCCCCAGAAAUUUCAAUCCUAACGCCUCUUUAUCGCUAGCAUUUUAGUUAUUGAAAAAAAGGAGCUUAAAGCAUUUAUUAAGCUAUCAAAUAAUAAAAUAUUGGAUGCAUCACGCGUCCAAAAUCACAAAUUCAGCAGUCAGAUGAUGUAGUUUCACGAGCUCAGUGACAAUGCUAGACGAAUGGACUCGAUGACAUGGAUUGAGUAAAUUAAAGUAAUUAGCAAAAAUUAGGGAAAAAAAAAAGGUUACAAGAGAGUAUAGCAAAAAUAUGGAGAACCAAUUCUAUAGUUACCUUAAAGUCGAGAGCGGAAAAUACAUAAUUUUAGAAAUAUUUUUCUAAAAUUGAUCGUUGGUGUCGUUUGAAAUAAUGAUAAGUCAAUAAAAAAUAUAUUCAUUAUUGACAAUAAUUUAUGUUUAAAUAUUUUAAUGAACAAUGAAAAUAUUUUUUGUUCAUUAAUUUUUGUAACUGAUAUAAGUGAUUAUUUUUAGAAAAUCUUUUCCAACUAAUUGAUUUUCCAUGAAAUAAACUAAGCCACAAAGUUAAUGUGUUAUUAGCGAUGCCAAGCAUAACAAGAAGUGUUUUGCAUAAAAUUUUAGAUACAUUUCAUUUUUUAGAUCAAGCGCUACCAUAAAUCGCAAAAAACAAAACUUUCGAGAUUUGCGUCUAACCUGAUUUUCUUUAUGCAUUCGUACUUUUUUCUUUAUAGAUAAAUGAGGCAAUCGGCUCCUUACGAGGACGCUCAAUUAUCAAAGUCCAGGUAUAUUUCGAUAUCCAGGAGUCAUUUCCUAACACGCUAAGCUAAGGUUGAAAUCAUGCUUAGUACGGGUAGUAUAGUAACGUCACGCUGGAGCAAAUGAAAAUUGAUAAUUAUGUAAGGUGAUAAACGAUAGACUAUAAUAUUCAGUACAUUACUGUAUGAGUUUCAUCCGCUUUUCGUGGAUUGCAUCUUAGACCGUGGUCUGUCAUGCCAUCUUUUGGACUGUGAAGCCAAAACAAAACAAAACUACAGGAGAGAGUUUGCACGGAGAGUACGGUUCCAUUCUCAAACAGACCUCAUCAAUCUUCAAUACAGCACAAACUGAAGACACGCUUCAAGACAAAAAUUGAAACAGCAAGCAUUACUAAACUUAUUCAAGAUCCUGCAACUUCUAAUGGGCUCGACCAUUGUGAAUUCUCCAACACAGAAACUGCACGAGCCGAGGAGGCAGGGGAAAAUCACCGGUACUGAGGGGCCAGCACGCCCUCCCUGACGAUGUAAUUCUGGAGAGGGAAUUCCUCUCCCUUGAAGUACCUAUCCAGCAUGUCUUUGGUUCCGGCUGCAUAUCGCAGCUGCGCCAAAACCAAAUUCGAAAGCCGGAGCAUGAUUAGGAAGCGCGCCGGCGCGUUAUAUAUUGAAUAUGAGAGGAAAGGAGUACGGAGAUGUUUAGUACCUGCGCAUCGAUAGUUGUGCCGGAAAUAUGAGGCGUCAUGGCCUGGUUCGGCAUGUACCGCCAGGGGUGGUCCUUGGGUGCUGGUUGGGGGAACCAAACAUCCCCACUAUAACCUGAAAGAUCAGACAGAUGAAUAUUUAACAUGAUCGGGAAAUGACGACUGAUUAUAACUGAUUUUCUGGCAAUAGUUUUACCUCCGAUGUGUCCACUGGUGCAGGCGUCGGCAACAGCUUGUGUAUCCACGAGCGCUCCUCUAGCAUUGUUGACGAUAAGGACACCUUUCUUCAGCUUGGAAAUCCUCUCUUUAUCAAGCAUUCCUCUGAAACAUAUACCAUAGCCUUCAUCACAUGAUGCUCUCAACAUUUUACAAGAACCUCAAACCUUACAUAUGGGAAGAAAACUGAGAACCUGAAGCAGACUAACACCAUGAACUUCUUUCCAUCAAAUGAUUUUUACCUUGUUUUCUCAGUCAGAGGGGUGUUGAGAACGAUUAUGUCGCAUUUCGGAAGCAUUGUAUCAAGGUCCUCCUCGAAUUUUGCACCAGUCUGAACCUCCAGUUCCGGGUCGAUUUUGAUGCGGUCGUGAUAGAGGAGAUUGCAGUUGAAAGGCUUCAAUCUCUGUAGCAAAAGCCUGCCAAUUCGCCCGGCACCGACAGUCCCGACAGUUUUUCCUUCGAGAUCGUAAGCUCUGUGUGCUAUGCCGGCCACAUUCCAGUCCCCAUUGAUGACCUGAUGAUAUCCAGGCAAAAAGUUCCUUACAAGAAUGAGGAUUCUCAUGAGCUCAUCCUCUGCAACUGAAACGACAUUGCUUCCAGUGACUUCCGCAACUGUCAACCCUGCUUCGGCUGCAGCCUUCAAAUCGAUGUGAUCGGAACCAAUCCCAGCAGUGAGAAGAAGCUGCAAAUUCUUUGCCUUCUUAAUCCUUUCCGCGGUAAGGUAAGCCGGGUGAAAAGGAGUUGUUAUGAGGACAUGAAGAUCGGAAAGAUGCUUUUCAAGUUCUACGAUGAGCGAAUUGAGAAGUGAGAAGCGAAUCAAACACAAACCAAAGAAUAAUGAAAUGGCAGAUAUCAGCUAAAAACCAGAGGUUCCUGCAAAGCAAAUCUACAGAGAAAACCAUCGUCAUUUCUAAAGCGUACUCACCGCAGUCUGGUCCCUCUUUGUCAUCUGUGACUACGUACUGAUGGCCCUGCGAUUCCAGCCAGUCGCGUAUGCCCAGACCUCUCUCGACAGUGCCCACGAAAUUGGGAUUCAACUCGGCAUACUCAUUGGCCUUGUAGAACACACCCACGAUCUUCUUGCUUCCAGCAGUAGACUGAUAAAAGUGCCCCCAGAAAACCAUAUAUGCAGUCAGUAUUGAAGAAAAUGCUAAAGCAGAGAAGGCAUAAAGUUCAAAAUUCCAGAAGCAAAAACACAAAAUAAUCACGCGAAAUCUUGGGAUCGAGCCGGCUAACGCAUCACUCACGUGGACGCCUCGGGUCAAGUCUGGAGACGAACACAAAGCUCUGAUGGCAGACACACCGGCGCGCUUCAUGGCCAUAUCCGAGCCGAGCGGUUCUCGCAGUCCACAGGUUCGAAGAGAUUCGAAGAGAGAUUUCGGUAUUGGAAGAAGAGAGAAAAGUGAAUGAAACACUGGUGAAGUACUGGGACAGAGACGCUCGAGAUAUAUAUAUAUAUAUAUAGGCAAAACAGUCGCGAGGGAAAAGAGAACAACUUCUCCUUCGCUUGCUUGGGAUGAGAAUGUGAGAACGUGAGACGCGCUGGCUUUUGGCAACGUAGGAUAGUCACUUUUUUGUUAACGUGAAAGAGGGCGUCUCCUUUGGGCUUUGGCAAGGAGCAUCAUCACUACCUCUUCAUGGAAAAGAAUUUCUCUUUUUGAACUGUUUCCUAAUUUGAUAGGCUCCGUAUCUUGAAUUAAGGAGACGGAAUUAUACCCGGUCACUACGCCCUAGAGUUUGUAAAAGGAGCGUUGGUUUUUUUAUGCGAAGUCCCGCAGCAAUUAAGGAGUUUAAUUGCAUGUAGGUAAGGUUGACUUGCCAUCAUGGGGCCUUAAGUUAUGGAGAGGUCAUUGUUAUGCUUUUUAUACUAUAUAAAGCCAUAUGUGAUUGUUGCGGCGACGCAAAAAUUUAUGGAGACAGGACAUUGAUAUGCUUUUUAUACUAUAUAAAGUCAUAUGUGAUUGUUGCAGAGACAAUAUAAUCAUAACAGAAAUUUAUGAAUUUUCUGAGUUUAUCAAUAUCUCAAUUUUCAAAUCUCACAUUUCUUACCUUUAAUUUUAUUAUCCUCCAUCCUUGCUGUGCAAUUCAAAUCUUGUCUGAAUCUCCACUGAAUCUGGAGUCAAAGAUCAACUUUCAGAGAAAGGUAUUUGGCUGAUCGGGUAAAUCCCGAUUUCUAGUGAAAUAACUAUUAAAUCUAUGUAAUCAGUUACUUGCGGAUAUUCCCUGCAGUGCGGUUGAAAUUCACGGCCUUUGAUCGGUCGCCACGUGGAAAUAAAAUCCAUGUGAUUAUUUUCCUCUCUAAUGAUUGCCCUUGCAAGAUCUGAUUCGUCCUCCCUCACUGGCUUUUCGUCGUCCAAAGCGGUCGCCCCUUUCCGAACAUCGCGUCUUUUGGAAAAAUUGAAAAGAACAUCUUCAAAAAAUUUCACGAACCCAGCGGAGCAUUUUAGGUUUCCUUUGCUAAAGCGCCAAAUUUUAUUUGUAAAGAAAUUUUUCAUAAACGUUACAUCGAUCGAAAAAAUAAAAUACAAAGCCUAUCUACUUAAUUUUUCUAACAAGUCUUUCCAACUCUAAUUCCAAUCAAAUUUAGCUGACUCAGCCAUUACACGAAGCAGAAAUAUCAUGCAGAUUUAAUGGGAAAAUUUAGAAAAGUUGCCAAUUUAAUCCUAAAUUUUCUAAACAUUUUGACUUAGUGCUGAUUUAAUCAUUUUGGCUAACUUUGAUCGGAUAUUACUGACAUGGAUGCUAAUUAGCUUACGUGAUACAACCAGCGUUAACAUUAACAACUUUUAAUAAUUUUUUUCCUUUUUAUUUCUUUUCUUUCUCUUUCCUUUCUAAACAUUUAUGCAAUCAACUAGAGGCAAGAUCGGGAGAGGCUCUCGCCCUUGCCAGAUGCUGAGGUCGGGCCUCACCAAUGGUUGGUAAGAGCCUCCCCAAUGGCCAGUGAGGUCUAACCUUUGGCCAAUUGCCGAGCCAGCGACUAGUUGGAGGAAGAGGAAGGAAUAAAAAAGGAAAGAGAAAGAAAGGAAAAUUAAAUAAAAAAAAAAUUUGCUAAUUAUUAAAAUAUUAUUAUUCACAUUAGCUUUGGUUAUGUCACGUAAGCCAACCGGCAUCCACAUUAGCAAUAUCAAACCAAAAUUAACCGAAAUGACUUAAUCAGUAUUAGGUCAAAAUGUUGAGAAUUAAAUUGGCAUUAAUAUAAUAAGUUUAAGACUUUUACACUUUUUCCCGAAUUAAACAUAUGGGUGCUCACAUGGACUUGCGUGAAAACAUGUAACCAGCGAAUACAGCAAUUAUGAAGUGGAUGAAAUCCAGAUGUUGUGGAACAUCACGCUGGCAAAAUUUUAUUCAUGUCACGCCACGUCGGCCAGGUUUGGUAAAUUAAAGUAAAUCUAUAGCAAAAAUUUGAAUAAAAAAAAGGCGUUAAAAGACUAGCAAAAAAUAUGGUGAACCUAUUCUAUGGUUACCUUAAAAAUUGCGAUAUUCAGACUGCAUUCCUUUGGUGAAAAAUGAAUUUUUUGAAUUUUUUUUUCUAAAAAUAAUCUUUAAUAUAGCUUAAAAUAAUAAGUCAAAGAAAAUUGUUUUCAUUAUCGACAAUAAUUAAUAUCUAAAUAUUUUCUUGAAUGGUAAAAAUAUUUUUUGUUUAUUAAUCUUUGUAAUCGAUAUAUGUGAUCAUUUUUUAGAAAUCUUUUCCAAGGUAUUGAUUUUCCGGUGAAACAAUCUGAACCUCAAAGUUAAGAUAUUCUUAGUGAUGCCAAGCAUAACAAGAAGUGCGUUGCAUAAAAUUUUAGACAUAUUUUGACUUUGAGAUAAAGCAUUAAAUCGCAAAAAACAAAAAAGAUUUACGUCUCACUGAUUUUCUUUUUGCGUUAGUCAUUUCCUAGCACGUUAAAUUGAUUAUUAUUUCUAUAUCAGUACAUCGCGAUAUGGACUACAAAGCCACUUGUGGAUUGCGAUAUGGACUACAAACGUUAGUGUAAAACAUAAGUACAGGAGGGAAUAUGUACGAAGAGUACAGUUCCGUUCUCAAGCAGACCUCAUCACUUCAAGACAAACUUUGAAAGAGCAGCAUUAUUACACUUAUUCAAGAUCCUGCAACUUCUACAACCUCGACGAUCGCGAAAACACGAACAAGGAAACUCCACGAGCCGAGGAGGCAGGGAAAUCACUGGUACUGAGGGGCCAGAACGCCCUCCUUGACGAUGUAAUUCUGGACUGGGAAUUCCUCUCCCUUGAAGUACCUAUCCAGCAUGUCUUUGGUUCCGGCCGCGUAUCGCAGCUGCAACAAAACCAAAUUCAAAAGCCGGAGCAUGAUUAAGAGGUGAGUUGGCUGCGCUUUUUAUUGAAAAUGAGAGGCGAGGAGUAUGGAGAUGUAUACUACCUGAGCGUCAAUAGUUGUGCCAGAAAUAUGAGGCGUCAUGGCCUGGUUAGGCAUGUAUCGCCAGGGGUGGUCCUUGGGCGCCGGCUGCGGGAACCAAACAUCCCCACUAUAACCUGAAAGAUCAGACAGAUGAAAAUUGAACAUGAUCGGGAAAUGACGACCGAUUAUAACUGAUCUUCCGGCAAUAAUUUACCUCCAAUUUGUCCACUGGCACAGGCGUCGGCAACUGCUUGUGUAUCCACCAGCGCUCCUCUAGCAUUGUUGACGAUAAGGACACCUUUCUUCAGCUUGGAAAUCCUCUCUUUAUCGAGCAUUCCUCUGAAACAUAUACCGUGGCCUUCAUCACAUAAUGCUUGCAACAUUUUACAAGAACCUCAAACCUUAUAUAUGGCAAGAAAACUGAGAACCUGAAGCAGACUAACACCAUAAACUUCUUUCCAUCAAAUGAUUUUUACCUUGUUUUCUCUGUCAGAGGGGUGUUGAGCACGAUUAUGUCGCAUUUCGGAAGCAUCACAUCAAGGUCCUCCUCGAAUUUUGCACCAGUCUGAUUCUCCAGUUCUGGGUCGAUUUUGAUGCGGUCGUGAUAGAGGAGAUUGCAGUUGAAAGGCUUCAAUCUCUGUAGCAAAAGCCUGCCAAUUCGUCCAGCACCAACAGUCCCGACAGUCUUUCCUUCAAGAUCGUAAGCUCGGUGCGCUAUGCCGGCCACAUUCCAGUCCCCAUUGAUGACCUGAUGAUAUCCAGGCAAAAAGUUCCUUACAAGAAUGAGUAUUCUCAUGAGCUCAUCCUCUGCAACUGAAACGACAUUGCUUCCAGUGACUUCUGCAACUG
rnacentral:lncRNA from 1 species